GACGAACGCUGGCGGCGUGCUUAACACAUGCAAGUCGAACGGUAAGGCCCUUCGGGGUACACGAGUGGCGAACGGGUGAGUAACACGUGGGUGAUCUGCCCUGCACUUCGGGAUAAGCCUGGGAAACUGGGUCUAAUACCGGAUAGGACCACUGCCUACAUGGGUGGUGGUGGAAAGCUUUUGCGGUGUGGGAUGGGCCCGCGGCCUAUCAGCUUGUUGGUGGGGUGAUGGCCUACGAAGGCGACGACGGGUAGCCGGCCUGAGAGGGUGACCGGCCACACUGGGACUGAGAUACGGCCCAGACUCCUACGGGAGGCAGCAGUGGGGAAUAUUGCACAAUGGGCGCAGGCCUGAUGCAGCGACGCCGCGUGAGGGAUGACGGCCUUCGGGUUGUAAACCUCUUUCAGCACCGACGAAGCGCAAGUGACGGUAGGUGCAGAAGAAGGACCGGCCAACUACGUGCCAGCCGCCGCCGUAA
rnacentral:rRNA from 1 species